rnacentral:rRNA from 1 species
AACGAACGCUGGCGGCAUGCCUAACACAUGCAAGUCGAACGAGACCUUCGGGUCUAGUGGCGCACGGGUGCGUAACGCGUGGGAACCUGCCCUUAGGUUCGGAAUAACUCCCCGAAAGGGGCGCUAAUACCGGAUAAUGUCUUCGGACCAAAGAUUUAUCGCCUUUGGAUGGGCCCGCGUUGGAUUAGCCAGUUGGUAGGGUAAAAGCCUACCAAGGCGACGAUCCAUAGCUGGUCUGAGAGGAUGAUCAGCCACACUGGGACUGAGACACGGCCCAGACUCCUACGGGAGGCAGCAGUGGGGAAUAUUGGACAAUGGGCGAAAGCCUGAUCCAGCAAUGCCGCGUGAGUGAUGAAGGCCUUAGGGUUGUAAAGCUCUUUUACCCGGGAUGAUAAUGACAGUACCGGGAGAAUAAGCUCCGGCUAACUCCGUG